AUUUCUUCUUAAUAUUCUCUCAUCAGAUAUAAAAAUCUCUUCUAAUCAGCUUAAUAUCUGUUACGUUCUGCACCACAGAACUAGAAUAUUAAACUCAUUUUUGACUCAUGAUAGAGUGCUAACAGCAUGCCCUAUCUCUGUCAUGAUAUCUCUUAAGGUAGCAGCACAGAGAAGUUGUAAAUAUCA